GAUGAACGCUGGCGGCGUGCCUAAUACAUGCAAGUCGAGCGAACGGACGAGAAGCUUGCUUCUCUGAUGUUAGCGGCGGACGGGUGAGUAACACGUGGAUAACCUACCUAUAAGACUGGGAUAACUUCGGGAAACCGGAGCUAAUACCGGAUGAUAUUUUGAACCGCAUGGUUCAAAAGUGAAAGACGGUCUUGCUGUCACUUAUAGAUGGAUCCGCGCUGCAUUAGCUAGUUGGUAAGGUAACGGCUUACCAAGGCAACGAUGCAUAGCCGACCUGGGAGGGUGAUCGGCCACACUGGAACUGAGACACGGUUCAGACUCCUACGGGAGGCAGCAGUAGGGAAUCUUCCGCAAUGGGCGAAAGCCUGACGGAGCAACGCCGCGUGAGUGAUGAAGGUCUUCGGAUCGUAAAACUCUGUUAUUAGGGAAGAACAUAUGUGUAAGUAACUGUGCACAUCUUGACGGUACCUAAUCAGAAAGCCACGGCUAACUACGUG
rnacentral:rRNA from 1 species